AGCGAAAAACAUAAGACUUUCAAAAAAAAAUUGGUCUUAACCAGCAAAACCAACUAACUAACAUAACACACUUUAUUUUUGCAUUCUCGGCGCUCAAUGGCCGAUUCCGAGAAAUUAACGGCGUUAAAGAAGGCGUACGCCGAUAUAAUACUGAACACGGCGAAAGAAGCGGCGGCGAGGAUAAUGGCGUCGGAGAGGAAAGCGCAGCGGUAUCAACGGGAACUAUUCGCGGCGAAAGAUGAGGCGUUGCGUAUGCUUAUUAGACUCAAACAGAUGAUGGAUUCUAAGGUUAAUGAAACAGAAAUGACAGCCUUGAGUCAACAAAGAAGGAUUGAAGAGCUAGAAGCACAACUCGGGGAAGCUGAGGAUAUAGUAAAAGACCUUAGAUCAGAUUUAAGAGAAUUGCAGGAUGAAUUAGAGAAUGCGAAAAACAGUCAGAUUCAGCCUUUGGAUAAACAAAAUUCAGAGGAUGAAAAUACGGUUAUACCUGCAUUGGAGGAAAAUAGAAUUGGUACUUCUACGGAUGUAAUAUCUUCUCUGCCUACGCCACAAUGUGAUCAAGUUAUACUUCUCGAGACAACGAAGUCCACUUCAAAUGGGACAUGUGAUGGCAGCAAGUGCUACAGUGCAAGUGAUUGCCGAGAAGACAAUUGUGUUGUUUGCAAUCCUGAUUUUGCCUCCAUAGUGAUGAGAACCAAAGAGCCUGAGCUGUAUAGGAAUGGAUGCACUCAAAGAAUUCGUGCUUUGGAAAGGAGUCUAUUAGGCGGAAAUCUGUCUGUUUCUGGGCAAGUCGAUGGUGUAAAAAAUCAGUUAUUUAUAAUAGCAGAUGAAGAAGAUAAGGAUAUAUGUAAACAACUCAACGGCAAGGUAGAUACUAUUUGUAAUGUGGAGAAAAUUCCUAAUACAGUCAAGGGUGAAACUGUAAGUAAAAAGAGGAGAAAGUAUGUGUCUCUUUCUGGAGAUCAGAUGUUUAUUACAGAAGAAGAAGAAGAAGAUGAUGAUGAUGAACAUAAAGGUGCUAACCUGGCUGUCGAGGCUGACAAUAGUUGUGAUGCAAGAGAUUCAUAUGCAGUGGAGGAUAAUGGAGGAGGUACCCCUAGAAGUGUAAGACAAAAAAGAGCUGCUAGAUACAAUAGACAUAGAGGAUAUGAAAGUCAUGUUCAUGACGCUUUACAUAAGAAUUAUCAAACUGGAAAAGCUUCUACAAUAAUUGAUAGUAUAUCUUUGGAGGAUCCUCAGCCACUUAUGGUACCAAUAUCACCUUCUAAUACUACUGAAAAUAAUAUACAAUCAGGAUCUUUGGAAGUUAAUGAAAGUGAGGCAGAAACUGGCAGAACUUGCUUAGUGCAGACUAGAACAAGCAAUGAUAGGUUGCCAAUAGAUGAAGUGGAGCUGGCUGAAUGUGAUGCUGAAUCUGCUGAGUGUUCCGAAUUUUCAGCUAGCAGAGCAGAUUUGCAUGUAGCCAGUGCGUCGCCGUCAAACUCAGAUCUAAAAGAACCUGAUUCCGCUGAUGCAGUUUCUGCUAACCCUCAGCCGUUGUACAAAUACACAUUCCAAAGGAAGAGGAAGAAGGAAUCUCUGGGCAGUCCAGACGGCGGUACAUCUCUUGAUAAUCAGACUUUGAAGAGAGAUAUGGGGGACAAACAAUGUGGUAUUUUAGACAAGUCAGGCUUGAUGGCUGAAUCAUCUAGAGACGGUCGAAGGUUGGCACAGGUUGCUCGUCAGGUUAUAAGUUGGGUUUACACCUGUUAUUGGUGCGUGUAUGCUCAUCUUCGAAACUACCUCUUGCUGCCAGCCCCUUGCUUAAUGCUUGGUCUAUCUUGAAGAAGGGUUUAAAUGUGUUUAUCCCUCUUGUAUCUCUACCUAAGGCACAACUAUAUGGCUUAUAUCUAUGUCUGGAAAGCAAUGGCAGUAGAGUUGGUUUUAGUUCACGUGGUUGUCGAAUAUGGUUCAUUGCAGCUGUGCGACGUUGAGGACGAAAAUGGCAAUUGAUAGAUCAAGAGCUGAGCUGAGCUGGCUUUACAUUUCUUGCAAUGUUCAAUAAUGUUUUGGGCAUUGUUAUAUAUUAUCUAGAGUAUAUGCAUUAUUGUGUUUCUUUUUAAUCAUCAUCCAUCUUUAUAUGAUUAUAUAGAAAUAAAUAUUGAGGUUGUUAACAUUACAGGUAUUAGAUGAGUUUUAGUUGAUUAAUUACAACAUAAUUUUGUCUUUUCUCUU